rnacentral:lncRNA from 1 species
GGAGGAUUGAGAGCUGAGUGGAGUUAACCAGCCAUAUGGCAGAACUUAGAUGAGAACAAAUGGGAUAUUAGUUGUGAUCUAAUUGGGGAACCAAAUUAUGACAACCGAGGCUUAUGGCCAAGGUGUUUGUAAAUAUAUUCUGAGUCACAGAGUUGAUAUUCAGGGAGCUUGGAGCCAGGAUGAAAAAGUUCAGAUUUUACAGUUCCCUUCCUCUCUCACACUGGUGUUUGAAGAUGUGAGUUCUCGGCUUCCUGUACCUGCCACCAUGAUGUCUCACCCUCUGGAACCAUAAGCCAAAAUCAGCCCCUUCUAUAAAUCGCCUUGGUCCUGGCGUUUUAUCAUAGCAAUAGGAAGACAUAAGUAGACAUUGUUAACAUUCCUUCUGCUGCUCCAUUCUAAGGUAAAAUAUGUGAUUUUCAGUGCCAUCUUGUUUGGGAGCAGUCUUAUGACUGUCUACCAUCCUGGUUGUGGGCAGAAAAGGUUUUCCUAUAAUAUUGCUUCAGUGCCAUCUUAGCUAAGGGCAGUCAUGCGAGUGGCUAUAACUUCAGUGCCAUCUUUGUUAUGGACAGUUCCCACCUCACUGCCUGCUCACCUUAAGACAAAAUGACCUAAGGUCUCCAAAGACACUUCACUUAAGAUAACGUUGACAUAUGAUUUCUAUCCUGCCUUGAUAAAUGAUUUUAAUAUUAAUUUAAAGAUUUACAACAGUAAAAGGGUUAAAGACUACUGUCUUAAAGAUGUGUUUAGCUUUGUUUUUGCUACUGAUAUUACUGUCAUUAAGUUACAAUGUUCUCUCUUUAUUUACUAGAUAUAUUCUAGCACAAAUAAUUAAACAAA